UGCGGCGUAGAGCAAUUGGCAGCUCGUCAGGCUCAUAACCUGAAGGUUGGGGGUUCGAGUCCCCCCGCCGCAACCA
rnacentral:tRNA from 1 species